AGAGCGAACGCUGGCGGCAGGCUUAACACAUGCAAGUCGAGCGGGCGUAGCAAUACGUCAGCGGCAGACGGGUGAGUAACGCGUGGGAACAUACCUUUUGGUUCGGAACAACACAGGGAAACUUGUGCUAAUACCGGAUAAGCCCUUACGGGGAAAGAUUUAUCGCCGAAAGAUUGGCCCGCGUCUGAUUAGCUAGUUGGUGAGGUAAUGGCUCACCAAGGCGACGAUCAGUAGCUGGUCUGAGAGGAUGAUCAGCCACAUUGGGACUGAGACACGGCCCAAACUCCUACGGGAGGCAGCAGUGGGAAUAUUGGACAAUGGGGGAAACCCUGAUCCAGCCAUGCCGCGUGAGUGAUGAAGGCCUUCGGGUUGUAAAACUCUUUCGACGGGGACGAUAAUGACGGUACCCGUAGAAGAAGCUCCGGCUAACUUCGUGCCAGCACCGC
rnacentral:rRNA from 1 species